GAUGAAGAACGCAGCGAAAUGCGAUACGUAGUGUGAAUUGCAGAAUUCAGUGAAUCAUCGAAUCUUUGAACGCACAUUGCACCUCUCGGUAUUCCGGGAGGUAUGCCUGUUCGAGCGUCAUUUGUACCCUCAAGCUCUGCUUGGUGUUGGGUGUUUGUUCCGCCUCUGUGUGUGAACUCGCCUCAAAACAAUUGCCAGCCGGCGUACUUGUUUCGGAGCGCAGCACAUUUUGCGAUCCAGAUCAACGUACAGCGGCAUCCAAGAAGCCUUAUUUAACGCUCUUGACCUCGGAUCAGGUAGGGAUACCCGCUGAACUUAAGCAUAUCAAUAAGCGGAGGA
rnacentral:misc_RNA from 1 species